GAUGAACGCUUGCUACCGGCUUAACACAUGCAAGUCGCGGGGCAUCAUGGAGGUUGCUUGCAAUUUCUGAUGGCGACCGGCGCACGGGUGAGUAACGCGUAUCCCACCUUCCCAUUACUACCGCAUACCCCGUUGAAAGGCGGCCUAAUUCCGUAUGCAGUCCGAAGCAGUCAUCUUAUUUGGACGAAAGGUAUAUUCUAUCGGUAAUGGAUGGGGAUGCGUCCGAUUAGCCCGCCUGCGGGGUAACGGCCCACCGGGGCAUUGAUCGGUAGGGGUUCUGAGAGGAAGGUCCCCCACACUGGAACUGAGACACGGUCCAGACUCCUACGGGAGGCAGUAGUGAUGAAUUUUGGUCAAUGGGCGUAAGCCUGAACCUGCCUGUAGCGUGCAGGAUGACGGCUCUAGUGGUUGUAAACUGCUUUUAUGCGGGGAUAAAGUUGUGGACUUGUCCCUUUUUGCGGGUACCGCAUGAAUAAGGACCGGCUAAGUCCUUGCCGGCAGCCGCGGGUAUACGGAAGGUCCUGGCGUUAUCCGUAUUUAUUGGGUUUAAAGGGAGCGUAUGCUGUUUUUUGAUUGUGCUGUUAAAUGUACCGGCUCAACCGGUGAUGUGCAGCGCGGACUGAGAAUCUGGGUACUCAGUAGGAUGCGGAAUUCGUGUUUGAUGCGGUUGAUGUGCUUAUAUUUUGCGAAGAAUCGAUUUGUUGGCGUGUUGUUGAUGGUAUCUGACGCUGUGUCUGUGAUGUGCGGUUUCUUAUGGUGAGAUCUCUGGUGUGUCCAAUGCUGUUCCUGUGUGGAUUUGGCUGUGGAUGCCGUCGAUGUCGUGGGGUGUCUGUGGUCCGUUUGUUGUGUCCCUUUGUGUGUGUGUGUUAUUGUGUGUUGUGUUGGUGUGUGUGUGAUUGCUCUGUGUUGGUGUGUUUUUUUGCGUGUUGUG
rnacentral:rRNA from 1 species